rnacentral:rRNA from 1 species
UACAGGGGGUGCAAACGUUAAUCGGAAUUACUGGGCGUAAAGCGUGCGUAGUCGGUUAUUUAAGUCGGAUGUGAAAUCCCCGGGCUCAACCUGGGAAUUGCAUUCGAUACUGGGUAGCUAGAGUUCGGCAGAGGGAAGCGGAAUUUCGGGUGUAGCGGUGAAAUGCGUAGAUAUCCGAAGGAACAUCAGUGGCGAAAGCGGCUUCCUGGACCAGAACUGACGAUCAGGCACGAAAGCGUGGGGAGCAAACAGG